CAGCUUUAGUAAUCUGCGUAAAUUCAUUGUUUAUUUGACCAUGGCAACCGUCUUAUGUUCACAUGCAACCUAGAACAAACACAGAGGCUCCCUGACUCUACUACCUCAGCCAGUGAAUCAGAAGUUCUCUACCUGUAUGACCGAAUGUGGAGAGCCAACAGAAGCACUGCUCUGGCUUUCUGGUCGAAGUAGCGGAGGUGGGGAGUUGUGCUGUGUAGAUUCCAGGUAAGACGUCAAACUUGGCACCAUAACUACAAUAGCACAAUUCAUGGUUCUUGCAGUGUUUUUAAGGUACACCAUAACCACUAAAGCACGCUGUCGUGCUUAUGAUGUCAAAAGUGUCCUUCAGUCCCAAAAUUGUUACUGGUUGUACUGUUUUAGAGCAAUUUGACUUCUUAGGUAGGGUCAAACAGGAGAGCACGAAUUCCGGCUUAGACGCUUCUGUUAGCUCUCCUGAGCUAAGCCAUGUAGUGCAAUGAUUGCUCUCAGCAAAUGAGCUUUGCACAGCUGGGCUUAGCUCAGAUGAAGAGCUUUCGCCUAGAGAGCGCCAGCCCUCCACUGAACUAAUACAAGAUUAUAAACAGAGCUUCCAGCUCGCUGUUGGAUGUAGAGGAGAGCGACUACCCAACGUACAGUAGGUAUUAAAAAAAAA